UAAGCCUGCGAAGGUGUACUGUGAGGUAUGCUGGAGGUAUCAGAAGUGCGAAUGCUGACAUAAGUAACGAUAAUGCGGGUGAAAAACCCGCACGCCGGAAGACCAAGGGUUCCUGUCCAACGUUAAUCGGGGCAGGGUGAGUCGACCCCUAAGGCGAGGCUGAAAAGCGUAGUCGAUGGGAAACGGGUUAAUAUUCCCGUACUGGUGGUAACUGCGAUGGGGGAACGGAGAAGG
rnacentral:rRNA from 1 species